CAGACUAGAGCUUGAAAUAAGUUUUUUAUUUACACUAAAAAGAUAAUCUGACUGUGAUUUGGUCUGA
rnacentral:tRNA from 1 species